AUUAGCCAUGCAUGUCUCAGUGCAAGCCGUAUUAAGGCGAUACCGCGAAUGGCUCAAUAUAUCAGUUUUGGUUCCUUAGAUCUUACUCAGUUACUUGGAUAACUGUGGUAAUUCUAGAGCUAAUACAUGCAAUCAGAACUCUGACCAGUGAUGGGAUGAGUGCUUUUAUUAGAUCAAAACCAAUCGGCGGAGGGCCUAGCGUCCGAAGUCGUUAAUUUUGAUGAAUCUGGAUAACUUUUGCCGAUCGCAUGGUCCAGUACCGGCGACGCAUCUUUCAAAUGUCUGCCUUAUCAACUUUCGAUGGUAGUUUCUGCGACUACCAUGGUUGUCACGGGUAACGGGGAAUCAGGGUUCGAUUCCGGAGAGGGAGCCUGAGAAACGGCUACCACAUCCAAGGAAGGCAGCAGGCGCGCAAAUUACCCACUCCCGGCACGGGGAGGUAGUGACGAAAAAUAACGAUACGGGACUCUUACGAGGCCUCGUAAUCGGAAUGAGUACACUUUAAAUAUUUUAACGAGGAACAAUUGGAGGGCAAGUCUGGUGCCAGCAGCCGCGGUAAUUCCAGCUCCAAUAGCGUAUACUAAAAUUGUUGCGGUUAAAAAGCUCGUAGUUGCAUUUGUGCGCCGCGCUGUCGGUGCACCGCAUCCGCGGUGAUACUGACACGUCUGCGGAGCAUAUCGUCGGUGAGCCGGCGGUAAAACGCCGGUUCAAUAUCAAAAUCCUAUCGCGGUGCUCUUCGGUGAGUGUCGAGGUGGGCCGACAAUUUUACUUUGAACAAAUUAGAGUGCUCAAAGCGGGCUCAAAAUGCCGCUUGAAUAUUUCGUGCAUGGAAUAAUAGAAUAUGAUCUCGGUUCUAUUUUGUUGGUUUUCAGAACUCCGAGGUAAUGAUUAAUAGGGAUAACUGGGGGCAUUCGUAUUGCGACGUUAGAGGUGAAAUUCUUGGAUCGUCGCAAGACGAACAUCAGCGAAAGCAUUUGCCAAAGGUGUUUUCAUCAAUCAAGAACGAAAGUUAGAG
rnacentral:rRNA from 1 species